rnacentral:rRNA from 1 species
GAUGAACGCUGGCGGCAUGCCUAAUACAUGCAAGUCGAACGAAGUCUUUAGGAAGCUUGCUUCCAAAGAGACUUAGUGGCGAACGGGUGAGUAACACGUAGGUAACCUGCCCAUGUGCCCGGGAUAACUGCUGGAAACGGUAGCUAAAACCGGAUAGGUAUGAGGGAGGCAUCUUCCUCAUAUUAAAGCACCUUCGGGUGUGAACAUGGAUGGACCUGCGGCGCAUUAGCUGGUUGGUGAGGUAACGGCCCACCAAGGCGAUGAUGCGUAGCCGACCUGAGAGGGUGAACGGGCCACAUUGGGACUGGAGACACGGGCCCAAACUCCUACGGGAGGCAGGCAGUAGGGAAUUUUUCGUCAAUGGGGGAACCCUGGAACGAG